UACCUUUGUGCCCGAUUUGGUGAUAUAGGCAGCCUUUCUCUGCCUGUAUAAAAGGGAAUUCGGUUAUAGAAUCCGAAGCAGUGCCCGCUACUGUGAAACCCGUCUGAUGAAAAGCAAUUCUCACCAAGCCACUGUUUCUUUUGCCAGAAAUGGGAAGGCGCUUUUCAGGGUGAAGCCAGGAAACCUGCCAAGUCCGAACAUAGAUA
rnacentral:ncRNA from 2 species